rfam:Canis lupus familiaris chromosome 16, whole genome shotgun sequence.
GUGCUCACUUCGGUAGGACAUGUCCUGAAAUCGGGACGGGACAGAGAAGCUUUGCAUGGUGUCUGUGCAAGGAUGACACGCACAUUCCGGGAAGAGGUUCACGUUUUG